AAAAUGACUCUCGACAACGGAUAUCUCGGCUCUUGCAUCGAUGAAGAACGUAGCGAAAUGCGAUACCUGGUGUGAAUUGCAGAAUCCCGUGAACCAUCGAGUCUUUGAACGCAAGUUGCGCCUGAAGCCAUUAGGUCGAGGGCACG
rnacentral:rRNA from 1 species